AAGCAAGGACUGGUUACAAGCUUCACCCACAUCAUGCUGCACAACUCAUCUCAUCCUUCACUGCCUCGUUCAAUUACAGAUGUCAGGAGCACUGCCCUACCUUUCUCCUCCCGGGCAGACAUGUGCCCCUCUCGCACAGGGACUCACCUUGUACUGGAGAGUGGCAGGCUCCACCAUCUCCAGGGGUCUGCCGUUCACCUUGAUCAGGCCAUUACCCCUCUUGCAGUGGGCAACUGCUGUGGCGGUUUUCUACGACAGGAACAACAUCAUCAGGGUUCAUGUAUGAGGCAGUGGCAGUGGGGUGAGAACGGGGCCAUGUAGGGUCUGGCCGAAAUCGGCGGUGAUACAACCAGAGAGGGUCACCACUACACCAAAGCCCUCUUUAUUCCUUCUCUUUUUAUUCUUUCUCUUUUUUCCUCCUUCCCCUCUCUGCACUGUUUCUAUCUGAUGGGCUGUGGAACACUGAGCUCCAGCCUGCCUCGACCCUUGACAACAUCUGGAAAUACAAUGAUGAAUACGAGCUCUACCAGCAACUAGCAUCCCCUCAUUUCCCUCCAUUACUCUGCUUGUGCCUGCACACGUAUCAAAAUGUCCAAAAGAUGAUGGAGUGUGACCUUGACAACAUGGCUCCCAGGGGGAGAGGAGACAAGGCUGGGAAGCUGUGAUGGGAAAGUGGGCCAGCGUUCUCAGCCCUCCGCUGGAGAGCUCCUUAAAAGGCCUGGAGAGAUGAUGUCGUGGACUCUUUCCUUUCCCCCCUUAUGUUUUUUUCCUCCCUCAACAGCAGCGGAGAAGCCCGGCAGCAGGAGCAGAGCCAGGCUUUGGCCAAGCUCAUCAUGCACAUCAGAGCAACACACGACACUGAUGACUUCAUUGAGCAGAAAUAAGGCUUCCAUCCAUCAGUCGCUGGAAGGGCUUGUUGUGAAAGACAGGAUUUUGCAGAUUGGGAGUUUUCUCUUGUUAUACUCAUGUAGUCUGGUUUAGAUGGGUUCGUUUAAAAUAUCAGGAGUGUAACUAACGAUUGCAGAACUGCGGCAAAGUUCCCUUUAUUUACAAAGCAAAAGCAGAAAUGAGGAGGAAAUGCAAUAUCACGACAGCAGCAAGAGAUGCAGAAGUAGUCUUUUGUAAGUUCUGCUUGGCUUUUCGCAUACAUCGGUUGGACCUGUUACAGCCUGGUAGCCUGGACCAAUCAGAAUGUACCAAACACAAUAAAUAGCAGAUGUCUUCACACGCAGCUGCUGGCCUUUCUGUUUCCCCAAGCCCGACUAAUUUUUUCCAUCACAGCCCCUGCGACAGGGGUCAAGAACCACUUCAUGUACACAAUGCGUGUAAGGCCAAAACAGAUCCCAAUGCCCCCCCUUAACCCCGCACACAAUUAUUUGGAAGCCAUUGCAUUGGCUUUUCUCAGGUGAGCUUCCAGCGCCUGCAGUGAGAUGCGUCAGGCGAGUGUGGGCGAGCUCUUCACCGGGCUCCAAUCUACGAGGCAUCUGCUGUUAUCUGGGGAAUGCUCACCACACACUUCAUGGACAUAUAUGUACCAGCGCUUUGACAUCUCUGCUAUUUUUAGCGCCAG